rfam:Planktothrix tepida PCC 9214 isolate BBR_PRJEB10993 genome assembly, scaffold: BBR_B_PL9214_scaffold47
GCGGAUGUGGCGGAAUUGGUAUACGCGCACGUUUGAGGGGCGUGUGGGCUUCCCUUGCGAGUUCGAGUCUCGCCAUCCGCA